AGCUUUACGAAUCCAUGCUAAGAUUUCGUCAGACACCAACUUAUUAGGUCUAAUCAGACUUCCAAGAUAAGCGAAGUU
rnacentral:pre_miRNA from 1 species